CGCCUGGCAGCCACGACUUCCCGAGGCCAGCGCACCGGCGGCGCCGCCGCUUCCGCCGGCGGAAGACACACGCCGUCCCCUGCGGCUCCGCCGCGAAUCGCGCCGCCGCUGCUCGUCCACUGGAGGGAACCACGAGAAUCCCGGUCAUUUCGCCGCCGUGGUCUCCUCCUCCACGGGGAAGAAGAAGAAGGAGAAGAAAUGGAGGUCGCCGUCGUCGUCGAUGGAGUUGCCGGUCGGCUCCCGCGCUGUCUCUCCUGCGGUUCGACGAGAAUCGCGGCCAUUUCGCCGCCGUGAUCUCCCCCGCGGGGAAGGAGAAAAGCAAGAGGAUAUCGCCGUCGUCGAUGGAGUUGGUUGGCCGGAUCCCCCUCGCUGUGGCUUCUGCGGCGGACACGGGAAUCGAAAGGAUCGAGGAUCACGGAGGAAGGAGGAUCACGAGAGGUGAAGCAUGUGGCAUGGCCGCACGGAGAUGGAUUCCCUUCACAAGAGCUGAAUUAUUUAACCAGAAGGCAUAACAUCGCGGAGUCCAGCAUGUUGGUAUGCACAAGAAGACGGCGGAAAUUAUAGAAGAAUAUAACAGAAGAAUCUUCGAUCUUCUCGUGGUUCUUACAUGGAUUUACAGCGGAUCUCUCAGACGAAAUCCAGAAGAAGCACGAUAGAUCCAGAGAUGGCCGGCUCCAUCUUUCUGCCUGGUUCCGCCCCGAGCGUCUGUGGUUAUCUUUCUUCAUCACGCACACGUUACCUCAGGGGCGGACGAUCUGUCCUCAUUCUCGGUGCCCAUCCCGAGUUCAGGUGAUCGGAAGGAAAAUUGAAGCCAUUAUUUUAUGCCUUCAAUCACAAUUCUCGACUAACAGUCAUGGAUUCUGUUGAUCUCUUGGGCUAGGAGCCUAGGAAGAAGGCGGUGGGGUUCACUGGCUACAGGAAAUAAAUGGCUGCGAAGAAACGUCAACAAAUAAGGCGACCAAGAAACGAUACUAAUUUGAACCUCACUACUGAAACAGCAAUAUGAAAAUCAUUACUUUUUCUCCUUAUCUUACGAAUGAGAGUAUGAAUACGCAUAGGAACUAGCUGGCAUUUUUAUUAUCUUUUGGGAAAUAUGCAUGAAAAUUCCCUGUUCUGAAUGCAUGUGGAAGCGAACUGAAGAAAUGCUAGAGAUGCAGCAGGAAGUAAUAACCUAGGACAAUUACUUUUCUCGGCAUAGAGUUGACUAAAAAGCUGCAAAAAGAUAAUCACCAGGGUAGCAACUCCAAGAAAAUAAUCACCGAAGUCAC
rnacentral:lncRNA from 1 species